rnacentral:rRNA from 1 species
UACAGAGGGGGCAAGCGUUAUUCGGAAUUAUUGGGCGUAAAGGGCGCGUAGUCGGCUUGGCAAGUGGAUGGUGAAAUCCCUCGGCUUAACCGAGGAACUGCCGUCCAAACUGCUUCGCUUGAGACCGGGAGAGGUGAGUGGAAUUCCCAGUGUAGCGGUGAAAUGCGUAGAUAUUGGGAGGAACACCAGUGGCGAAGGCGGCUCACUGGACCGGUACUGACGCUGAUGCGCGAAAGCGUGGGGAGCAAACGGG